rnacentral:tRNA from 1 species
AAGUGGGAAGCAUCUAAUGUAAUUAGUUUCGACCUAAUAGAAGGUAUUAAAUUACCCCUACUUA